GACGAACGCUGGCGGCAUGCCUAAUACAUGCAAGUCGAGCGAACGGAUGAAGUGCUUGCACUUCUGACGUUAGCGGCGAACGGGUGAGUAACACGUAAGGAAUCUACCUAUAAGCGGGGGAUAACAUUCGGAAACGGGUGCUAAUACCGCAUAAUAUUUUCUUCCGCAUGGAAGAAGAUUGAAAGGCGGCUCUGCUGUCACUUAUAGAUGACCUUGCGGUGCAUUAGUUAGUUGGUGGGGUAAUGGCCUACCAAGACGAUGAUGCAUAGCCGACCUGAGAGGGUGAUCGGCCACAUUGGGACUGAGACACGGCCCAAACUCCUACGGGAGGCAGCAGUAGAGAAUCUUCCGCAAUGGGCGAAAGCCUGACGGAGCAAUGCCGCGUGAGUGAAGAAGGCCUUCGGGUCGUAAAACUCUGUUAUAAGAGAAGAACAAAUUGUAGA
rnacentral:rRNA from 1 species